CCUACGGGUGGCAGCAGUGGGGAAUAUUGCACAAUGGGGGAAACCCUGAUGCAGCGACGCCGCGUGAGUGAAGAAGUAUUUCGGUACGUAAAGCCCUAUCAGCCGGGAAGAAAAUGACGGUACCUGACUAAGAAGCCCCGGCUAACUCCGUGCAAGCAGCCGCGGUCUUACGUAGGGCGCACGCGUUAUCCGGAUUUACGGGGUGGAAAGGGGGCGUAAACGGCAGUGCAAGUCUGGAGUGAAAUCCCCUGGCUUAACCAAGGAACUGCUGUGGAAACUGUGGAGCUUGAGUGCAGGAGAGGUAAGCGGAAUUCCUAGUGUAGCGGUGAAAUGCGUAGAUAUUAGGAGGAACACCAGUGGCGAAGGCGGCUUACUGGACUGUGACUGACGUUGAGGCUCGAAAGCGUGGGUAGCGAACAGGAUUAGAUACCCUUGUAGUC
rnacentral:rRNA from 1 species